GAUGAACGCUGGCGGCGUGCCUAAUACAUGCAAGUCGAGCGAACAGACGAGGAGCUUUCUCCUCUGACGUUAGCGGCGGACGGGUGAGUAACACGUGGAUAACCUACCUAUAAGACUGGGAUAACUUCGGGAAACCGGAUCUAAUACCGGAUAAUAUAUUGAACCGCAUGGUUCAUUAGUGAAAGACGGUUUUGCUGUCCCUUAUAGAUGGAUCCUCGCCGCAUUAGCUAGUUGGUAAGGUAACGGCUUACCAAGGCAACGAUGCGUAGCCGACCUGAGAGGGUGGUCGGCCACACUGGAACUGAGAAACGGUCCAGACUCCUACGGGAGGCAGCAGUAGGGAAUCUUCCGCAAUGGGCGAAAGCUUGACGGAGCAACGCCGCGUGAGUGAUGAAGGUCUUCGGAUCGUAAAACUCUGUUAUUAGGGAAGAACAAAUGUGUAAGUAACUAUGCACGUCUUGACGGUACCUAAUCAGAAAGCCACGGCUAACUACGUG
rnacentral:rRNA from 1 species